rnacentral:rRNA from 1 species
UACGGAGGGUGCGAGCGUUGUCCGGAAUCACUGGGCGUAAAGGGCGCGUAGGCGGCAGGCCAAGCGUGCGGUGAAAGUCCGGGGCUCAACCCCGGAUCUGCCGUGCGGACUGGUUUGCUAGAGCACUGUAGAGGCGAGUGGAGUUCCGGGUGUAGCGGUGGAAUGCGUAGAGAUCCGGAAGAACACCGGUGGCGAAGGCGGCUCGCUGGGCAGUGGCUGACGCUGAGGCGCGACAGCGUGGGGAGCAAACAGG